rnacentral:sRNA from 1 species
UCCCUAGAGCGCGGUGACGAGAGACGCGG